UACGAAGGGGGCUAGCGUUGUUCGGAAUUACUGGGCGUAAAGGGCGCGUAGGCGGCCUUCUAAGUCGAACGUGAAAUCCCUGGGCUCAACCCAGGAACUGCGUCCGAUACUGGAAGGCUUGAAUCCGGGAGAGGGAUGCGGAAUUCCAGGUGUAGCGGUGAAAUGCGUAGAUAUCUGGAGGAACACCGGUGGCGAAGGCGGCAUCCUGGACCAUAUUGUACGCUGAGGAGCGAAAGCCAGGGGAGCAAACGGG
rnacentral:rRNA from 1 species